rnacentral:rRNA from 1 species
GACAGAGGUGCCAAGCGUUAGGCGGAAUCACUGGGCUUAAAGCGUGUGUAGGCGGACUUGUAAGUACCUUGUGAAAUCCCACGGCUCAACCGUGGAACUGCUCGGUAUACUGCUUGUCUUGAGCCACUUAGGGGCUGUCGGAACAAAUGGUGGAGCGGUGAAAUGCGUAGAUAUCAUUUGGAACGCCAAUGGUGAAAACAGGUAGCUGGGGCUGUGCUGACACUGAGACACGAAAGCCAGGGGAGCAAACGGG